rnacentral:rRNA from 1 species
UACGAAGGGGGCUAGCGUUGUUCGGAAUUACUGGGCGUAAAGCGCACGUAGGCGGGUUUGUAAGUAGGGGGUGAAAUCCCAGGGCUCAACCCUGGAACUGCCUUCUAAACUGCAAGCCUUGGAGGUCAGGAGAGGCGAGUGGAAUACCGAGUGUAGAGGUGAAAUUCGUAGAUAUUCGGUGGAACACCAGUGGCGAAGGCGACUCGCUGGACUGAUACUGACGCUGAGGUGCGAAAGCGUGGGGAGCAAACAGG